AAGCGGCAACAGCUCAAAUUUGAAAUCUGGCUCUCGGGCCCGAGUUGUAAUUUGUAGAGGAUGCUUUUGAUGCGGUGCCUUCCGAGUUCCCUGGAACGGGACGCCAUAGAGGGUGAGAGCCCCGUCUGGUUGGAUGCCAAAUCUCUGUAAAGCUCCUUCAACGAGUCGAGUAGUUUGGGAAUGCUGCUCUAAAUGGGAGGUAUAUGUCUUCUAAAGCUAAAUACCGGCCAGAGACCGAUAGCGCACAAGUAGAGUGAUCGAAAGAUGAAAAGCACUUUGAAAAGAGAGUUAAAAAGUACGUGAAAUUGUUGAAAGGGAAGCGUUUAUGACCAGACUUGGGCUUGUUUAAUCAUCCGGGCUUCUGCCCGGUGCACUUGUUCAGCUCAGGCCAGCAUCAGUUUUCCCCGGGGGAUAAAGGCGGCGGGAAUGUGGCUCUCUUCGGGGAGUGUUAUAGCCCACCGUGUAAUACCCUGGGGGGGACUGAGGUUCGCGCAUCUGCAAGGAUGCUGGCGUAAUGGUCAUCAACGACCCG
rnacentral:rRNA from 1 species